rnacentral:rRNA from 1 species
GAUGAACGCUGGCUACAGGCUUAACACAUGCAAGUCGAGGGGAAACGGCAUUUGGUGCUUGCACCGAAUGGACGUCGACCGGCGCACGGGUGAGUAACGCGUAUCCAACCUUCCCGUUACUGCGGGAUAACCUGCCGAAAGGCAGACUAAUACCGCAUGUUCUUCGAUGACGGCAUCAGAUUCGAAGCAAAGAUCCGUCGGUAACGGAGGGGGAUGCGUCUGAUUAGCUAGUUGGCGGGGCGACGGCCCACCAAGGCGACGAUCAGUAGGGGUUCUGAGAGGAAGGUCCCCCACAUUGGAACUGAGACACGGUCCAAACUCCUACGGGAGGCAGCAGUGAGGAAUAUUGGUCAAUGGGCGGAAGCCUGAACCAGCCAAGUAGCGUGCAGGAUGACGGCCCUACGGGUUGUAAACUGCUUUUAUGCGGGGAUAAAGUGAGGGCCGCGUCCCUUUUGCAGGUACCG